GAAGUGUAGUACCGCCGUUUGACCAGCACGAAUAUUCUCAUCAGACUCUGGCGCACUUCCUGGGGGCUUGGUCAAACUGCCAUCACUACUACUCUGUACUCCAACCGGAAGUACUCGGCCUCACACCCAUCCGCCGGAAGUUGAUAGACUUCAUCUUGUGCACAGAGCCUGAGCACAAGAUGGCCAAAAACCGAGAGGAGAAGAAGGACAAAAGAAGAGGACAGCUGAUGAGCAGCAUGGAGGAGAAGAAAGAGACCCCUGGAGCUCAGGUGACGGCUGCCUGGAAGGAGAGUACAAGAUCGAGAUCGACGAGAGGGUGGAGCCGGUGAAACUCCCCAAACGACGAGUCCCGGUUGCCAUGAUGACUCCUCUCAAGUUAGAGCUGCAGGAUCUACAAAGGAGAGAGAUCAUCACACCUGUGGAGAAAAGCACAGACUGGAUAAGUAGUCUUGUCACAGUGCAGAAAACCUAAUGGCAAGCCAAGAAUAUGUAUUGAUCCAAGACCACUGAACAAGGCUCUAAAGCGGAGCCAUUUCCCACUUCCUACCAUUGAUGACAUCCUUCCAGACCUGUCGAGAGCAAAGGUGUUCACAGUCUGUGAUGGCAUGUGAAAUUGGAGGAGGAGUCAAGCUAUCUAACAACAUUUGCUACACCGUUUGGCAGAUUUAGGUGGCUCAAGAUGCCGAUGGGAAUCAGCCAAGCACCUGAGAUUUUCCAGCGGAUACUGAAUCAAGCACUGGAGGGUCUGCCAGGCAUCUACAUCAUAGCUGAUGACGUAUUGAUCACAGGAGAAGGUGACACACAAGAAAUGGCCUUCAAAGACCAUGAUGAUAAAUUGAGACAGUUUCUAAGCAGAUGCAGAGAAAAGAAUAUCAAACUGAAUGCAGAGAAAUUCAGGUUGAGGCAGCAGGAGGUGCCAUAUAUUGGACACCUGCCUGACAGCAGAUGGACUGAAAAUUGACCCCGAGAAGAUCAGGGCAGUGAGAGACAUGCCAAGACCAACUGACGUGAAGGGUGGACAGAGACUGAUGGGCAUGGUAAAUUAUCUCUCUAAAUUCUACAAACACCUGUCAGAUGACUGUGAGAUUGUGAGACAGCUCACACACAAGGAAAAUAUGUGGGAAUGGACAGAAAUACACGAAGAAGCAUUCAGCAGGCUCAAGGACAAUAUGGCCAAAACACCAGUACUGAAGUACUACGACCCACAAGAGGAACUGACAUUGCAGUGUGAUGCUUCAAAAACGCGGCUGGGAGCAGCACUGACUCAAAAAGGGAAACCUGUAGCAUUCGGGAGCACAACUAUGCCCAAAUAGAAAAAGAAUGUUUAGCUAUUGUCUAUGGCAUGGAAAAGUUCCAUCAAUACACGUAUGGCCGGAAAGUGACAGUACAGAGUGACCAUAAGAACAUUGUCAAGAAGCCACUGUUAAGUGCACCAAAGAGACUCCAACGUAUGUUGCUCAGACUUCAGAGAUAUGAUUUUGAUGUGAUUUAUGUCCCAGGUCGUGACAUGUUACUUGCAGAUACAUUGAGUAGAGCAUACUUACCAGAGAGCUCAUCUGCAGGAACAGUGGAGGUUGAGAUUGAGACGGUCAAUAUUGUGGGCCUACUUGCCUAUCUCUGAAGAGAGACUGAGCACAAUCCGCUCUGCUACACAAGGAGACAAAACACUACAGACACUUAGCAACACCAUUCAGAAGGGAUGGCCUAAACAUAAGAAAGACACACCGAUAGAUAUUAUGCACUACUACUCAUUCCAGGAGGAACUGAGUAUACAGGAUGACAUCAUCUUCAGAGGGGAGAGAGCUGUCAUCCCAUAUUCACUACAAAGGGACAUCACCCGCCGGAUCCACUCCUCUCACCUGGGUGUGGAGGCAUGCCUCAGGCGUGAGAGAGUAUGUGUCUACUGGCCGGGAAUGAAUGAACAGAUAAAAACGUUCGUAGUGAAAUGUGACAUUUGCAGAUCAGUUGACACGAAACAACAAAAAGAGACACGACAUCCACAUGAGGUACCAGGCAGACCAUGGG